rnacentral:snoRNA from 1 species
GGAUUGAUGGGGCCCCCGUGGAUGAAUUCCUUGGAAAACCGAACGGAAGGAGUGAAAAGUCUCUGCUGUCAAAACAUACGCUCUAUUUUC